rnacentral:rRNA from 1 species
AUGUGCAUCAGCUGUGGAUGCACAGGCCACUUCCGCUCUGAGUGCCCGGCGCCUCCCCGUUGCCCCAUGACUCUUGCAUACUUGGGGUAUGGGACUGAGGGCUGUGGCUUCUACUACCUUGACGCGGAGCUGCAGGAGGAGCCUGUCAGGCCACACUUGGCGACGGUCUCUCUCGUUCCUGGACAGACCCUGCCGCUGUCAGUCGUGGUUACUGUGGGCCUCAUCCAUGACGAGUUGGCGGCUUACAUCGGUGACUACCGCGACAGUGGCUUUUCUUGGGUCGUCACUGAGACGGCACCGUUGGUCCUCUUGGUGCCGUUCCCUUCAGCUGAGCUUCUUCGUGUCUGCACCCACGACAACAUUAGAUGCCCGCUCAACAAGUUUCUCAUCUCCGCCAAGGAGGCCGUCGCGGAACCGGACUCGGUUCCACCGCUCACCUCGGUAUGGGUGCUUGUAUACGAGCUUCCCAAGGGAAGCAGGCUCGCCCCUAAAGGGGGCAAGCUUGAGCACAUUCUCAAGGCAGUCUCGGAGCCGGUGGGCAAGCUCUUAUCUGUUGACCUCGCCUCCCUGGAGGGAGAUGGUCCGGCCCGUAUUGAGGUUCUAUGCCCUAUGCCGGCUGAUGUGGACGGCCUUUCCUUGAUCUUCUACUUUGGCAAGAAGGGCAGGCGUAUCACCUACGAGGUCGACCUGGAGGAGCUCGAGAGCCGAUCAGGAGUGAUCUCGCCUCCCCCCUCCGGCUCCCUCCGACGACCGGCACGACGGGGGCGAUGA